AUACGGAGGGGGUUAGCGUUGUUCGGAAUUACUGGGCGUAAAGCGCACGUAGGCGGACUGGAAAGUUGGGGGUGAAAUCCCGGGGCUCAACCCCGGAACUGCCUCCAAAACUUCCAAUCUAGAGAUCGAGAGAGGUGAGUGGAAUUCCAAGUGUAGAGGUGAAAUUCGUAGAUAUUUGGAGGAACACCAGUGGCGAAGGCGGCUCACUGGCUCGAUACUGUCGCUGAGGUGCGAAAGCGUGGGGAGCAAACAGGAUUAGAAACCCUAGUAGUCC
rnacentral:rRNA from 1 species